UGGUCUAGCUUACAACGUUGAAAACGCAAUUGUUGAUCACAUAUUUCGACAGAAAUUCAAAGGAUCUGAGAGAAUUGAUGGAGCAUAUGAUGGGUCAAGUUAACGUUAAUCUCUUAGUCAUGUUAUUGGAAAGAAACAACGGCAUGUUCAUCGUUAGGACUCGCGGUUGUAGCCAUACAGGGGACGAUUCGAGAUAGUAGGACAGACUUAGACAAUGUGAAGAAUUUUAAUGAAGACUCGCAGCGAUACACUGACAUGAACAUAAUUUUUCGAGCCUCGAAACCAGCCUCGCUUAUGAUCGUGCCGAGUCAUACCCGUGAUGGCAGUUGCCAGGAAACAACAGAUAUCGGGAAGGACACACGAAGCGCGGACUUCAGAGACAACACAUAUGGAGAUUUUAUGGUUCUGAAAGACGCGAAGCUGAUUAACAACAUAUAUCACUGGAUUCCGUAAGUUGUUUUGCCAGUGUUAUUAGAUUGUACAAUUUGAAGUAGACUAUACAUCCUACCUACGUUUGGUUUCAUUAUGUAGUUAUCUAGAGACUGUAAAGAAUAUGCAUUGUCAUGGACGUUGAAAAUUCUAAGUGAAAUAAUAUUGUAAAGCAUUUACAAAUCCUGUCAUAAUGCCAA